GCCCCCGUGGUGUAAUGGUAUCACGGGACGCGUUACAGAACCAACGAUCCUGAGAACAGGCGGCCAGGGGACGAACAAGUCUGUGGUUCGAUUCACGGCGGUGGCA